rnacentral:rRNA from 1 species
AACGAACGCUGGCGGCGCGCCUAAUACAUGCAAGUCGAGCGAGAAGACGUAGCAAUACGUUUGUAAAGCGGCGAACGGGUGAGGAAUACAUGGGUAACCUACCCUCGAGUGGGGAAGUAACUAGCCGAAAGGUUAGCUAAUACCGCGUACGCUCCUUGGACUUCGGUUCAGGGAGGAAAGCGAUACCGUGGGUAUCGCGCUCUUGGAUGGGCUCAUGUCCUAUCAGCUUGUUGGUGAGGUAACGGCUCACCAAGGCUUCGACGGGUAGCUGGUCUGAGAGGACAAUCAGCCACACUGGCACUGCGACACGGGCCAGACUCCUACGGGAGGCAGCAGUAAGGAAUAUUGCGCAAUGGGCGAAAG